CUUGAAGAUAAAAUAAAAACUUACAGGUGUUUACAACAUUAGUUUUACAAACAACUGUAAAAACUAGACAGCAUAAACUCAGUGUCUAAAUCUGUCCUCUCUCUCUUCAGCAGCUUCAAGCUCUGCACUUGCUGACUGCUGAGACUCUUUGUCACUGGUUGGCCAUCUUGACUGUCCUUGCUUUUCUUUGUCAGGCUUCCCUGCCUCCUGACUCUUCUCCACUCCGCCCUGAAGUGAACUGCUAAAAUCUCCUCUGAAUUUCUCCAGUGGUUUCCUGUUAUUACUGCAAACUCAAAAAGCUUCUUCCUCAGUUACAAUACUCUGUAUGUUUUCCACACCAACUACAUCUUUGCUCCCUCCAACUCCUCCCUUAUCAUUGUCUCCGCUAUUAUUUUCUCAGCAUUGCAUCUUUUGCUUACACCCAGAAGAGCUUCUUACUUCUCUUCAGCCACCUUUUUCUCCUAACCUCAUCAGCCAGUCUGUUUAUCCAGGACCAUCUUUUUUCUUUUUACUCAUUAACCACCAAUAGUCUAAUCUUCCCUUAACACACUUCUUCACGGCUUGAUUUUGCCUCUCUACAUUGACUUCUGAACUCCUCAAGACAAGAAUUGUAUCUUGUUGUUUGUUUCUCGAGCAUAAUUUCAAAAUACGCAGGGAAGAAAAGGUUGGAACAAAUAACCCAAAUGCCCCAGGAGUUUCCUGAAGACAAAUGGAUUGAAUCCAAGAGGGAGUUCUGCUUUACGUGAGAGCAAACAAGCAGCUACAAAAGAAAAAACAGAAGAUACUCUGUGAAGGCAAUCACUAAUGCAGUCACACAGUUACAAGAAGAAAUUGUGCAUGGAAGCAGUUUUAUUAUUGCAAACAACUCAAAGAUGUGCAUUUUGUGUAUUUCUCAGUUGGCGUAACUGUGCUAUAUUUUUUCGCUGAGAUGGAAAUAGCACAGCCUUAGACAUGCCCAUGAGACAGCCACCUCCUGCACAAAUCAGUGUUGCCACCCUUGAAGCUGACCAUAUUAAUGGGGAAAUAAAGGACGUAGGUUAACAGCUUCAGUGUUAACUUCAGUGUAAAACUAGUCCCUUAUUUCCAAUUUCUAGCUCUAAAGUGUUGUUGCAUUUGGCAGAUGCCGUCCAAUUUGAUGCUUAUUUUAAUGGAGUGACCACAGAAAGCCAAAGCAAUGGGAAACAGCCUGAGCAAAAUUCAUCACCGUCAUGAAGAAAUGCAGUCGGUCUGGAAGCUCAGGCUGUUGUCUUUCUCCAGCAACCUUUUAGUUGUUAACCAGACAGCCAUUUCACUAGCACGUUUUGCUUGUUUCUGAAGGCACAGAUGAAAAAUGAAGCUGCGAAGGUUAAUAAAGGUACGCGCAGUGUUUCGCUAGGGACAGCUGCAGCUCGUCUAAACCUGCACUUUCUCUACCGCAGUCAACGGAGCAAUAACAGUUCACCAAGGCUGAGGCUUUGCCUUCAAAAGUCUACAUGGGCUUUUUUCUGCACUCUAUUCCAUGCCAGAAAAAGUGUUGAUUGGGCAAAUCACUCAGAGUACAGUUGUACCAUUCAAAACGAACAUAAACCGAUGAAGAGACAGAUCAAACAGCAAAACAAAGCUGAGUAAAAGCAUACAACCAAGCCACUGCCAAACAGAACCACCAAAGAUUGCGCACAGCAGAGCUGUAAAACGUGCAAGAUAAUGAGCGUGAUGCAGCAUGCUGGAGAACUAGCUGCAACUCAUAACUAGGUUGUAACGUGCUGACUUCAAAAACCCCUCUAGAAGAAUGAAUCAUAACAGGUUGCAUGCAAUCACUCAUGUACAGAGACUACAGAAAUAUUAAGCUUUCAUAAAGCCUUUGAAAAUAUCUGGAAAACAAGUCAGGCAAUAUUUAAGUAAGGCUAUGAAGAAAGUGCAGAACCAGUAAGUCAUAUCGAGCUGUCACACACACACAAUAAAGACGCUGAAAAUACACUCACAGACAACUUCCUAAAAAGACAAGAGAUCAAAACCAGCACUUUGUAUUUUAUUCUAGUGAAGAUUAAAUAGAUAGCAAAUUGUACACUACACGGUAGAAACACAGCUGUUCGAAUUCACUUUUUUUUUUUUUUCUAGUCAUAAAAUACCACACUGUUUCUGCACAGGAAAGAAUGUAACUCCAGAUAGAAGCAGGGCUACAAAUGUCCGGAGGCCAAAUGCUGGAGAGAUCAAACGAACUCCUCCAUCCCUCCCUUGGUCACUCAACAGCCUGCCAGCCCCUGGCUUCUCGACAAACUCCAGAAUGGCAGCGAAAUAUAGAUAAAAUCUGGUGCACUGCAUUGACACCCCCCCCGCGAUGCAGGACGUUGUGCAAGCCCCCUCCGACGCCGCACAGACUUCCAAAAGCGCGGGAGGUGCCCGGGCGCAGCCAAGACCCGAGGCAGGGUGAGACCGCUCGGUGCUGAGCCCUGCUUCACGCCCAGCUCCCAGACCACUCACCCGUGACACAAACAUCUCUCACAGACGUCAGGGGCAUGGGAUACACGCAAAUUUUCCUUAUAUACAGCGCACACGCCACCCCAGCAACUAAACAAGCAUGAAGUGAAGCACAUUCGGUUUUCCCCCUAAGAAGAGCGAGUUUAAAGAAGUAGGAAAAAGAGCAGUCAGGGAACUGAGGAAGCCAGGGUUCAAGUUCUUGGUCUACCACAGAGUUUCUGUGUGACCCCGGCCGAGUUGUUUAUUCCCUGUGUGCCUGAGCAAUGGCUCCGUGGGUGGCUCUGAGGAGAAAUACGUUGAAAACUGUGAGGCAUCUGGAUACGGGAAUACCCGAGAGCUCUCGAACUGGCAUAUUUAUACAGACAGAAACCACUCCGAGACAAUAACUCAGACGGCAGCGAGUUACAAAAUAAUACAUGCAUUAAUCUUGACAGCAAACGUUGAAGUAAGCAUAAGCAAAGGAAAAUAUUAGAGGACGCAAGAACGGUGAUGAUUUCCUUCAGCUAAUUACACGGUCCGAGAACUUAAGUGCUACCUGGACUGCGGAGCCACGUCCAGCCUGGGACAGAAGCAAAUGUACUUGUUCUGUCUGGCCUACACCAGACAAGGGAUUCUGCUCUGUGAGAUACUGACCCCUCAGUGGCAAGGAAGAAUGGCUGCCUACAAACCUUUUUCUCCUGCAGCAUCAGCCUCCAACUCCAGUUACGUUCAAGCAAAACUGGGAAACUGCCAAGCAGUGUCAGCACACUGCUCCAGAAAGAGGUUUUCUGGUGCUAGUCUCUGACACUGAAAUUAUUCCCCAGGAAAGAACAUCACCACGGGGCUCACCUCAGUCAGAACUAAAAGGGCUGGACUUUUAUUUCUUCCUUCGCUUUCCACAUGAAUACACAGCUAUCGGGCAAUUUCCUUCAUAACCUGGGAAAGAAGAACGUAUUUGUGAAGUAUCUGGGAGGUGCACACACAUUAGCUGGAUGGUAAAUGCAUGAAACAGAUGGGUGGUGCUGGAUUAGGCCUGCCAGCAAGAAGGGCUGAAGUACAGCAGCAGGAGAAAGGGAAGGCCCAGAAGACUUCGCCAGGAGCAUCACCAGCCCCACGUCACCCAGUGCUCCUCAGGUGCCCUGUGCGGGGAGGCCCAGGGCACCGCCACCUCCAGGGCUGGGCCUGUCACCUCAGAAGAGAAGUACCUCACGUCUGCUGAAUGGGUUCAAGAAACAAGAAGAGAAAACAGGGGAAGAAAAGACUGUCCAGUCUAACCUUUAUUUCCUUCCCUAGCAAGACCCCGCGGAGCUGCCCAGAGGGAGACGAGCAGUCCCCUCAGCCCACCCGCACUGCUGCGGCCGGGAGGAACAGGGUGGAAAUGUAACACAGGAGCAAACAGCUGGGGUAAAAACUGCUCAACAGGACCGUGGAAGAAGCCUGCAGAAAUCCAUGGCAUUUCAGAGCAACCCAGACGUUGCAGAACCACUACUAUGUUCAUUUCCUCCUCCAAGCAUUAAUAAUUUACCAACUUUUUUUUAGAGGCAGCGCUGAAGCUGCAUCAUUGCAUUCCAAGCAAAGGCCAGGUAUUCACACAGCUGUUUGUUUUCCUUUGUCUCUUGGUUCAGCCUUGUGUUCCAGCCCCACUCGCCUUCUGUAAAUCCCUCAAGAAAGCUAGUCGGAAUGAAACCCAAGAUUUUAUUAAGCUACAAAAGAAAAUAAAUAAUGUUGAAGCUUAUGUGAAUAUUUAGAAACUUUUCCAAACACGAGGAUGAAUGUGCAGCUCUUGUGAUGAGAUACAGGAAAAAAUAAUUCCAUUAAAGGGCCACUUAUGCCCAGAAAGAACAUUCAGAAAGAGAUGGAAAAAAAAAUAAAGGCAAUAACAUAAUUUUGGGCCCUACAUACUCCCUUGCCUGUCCACCAGGGACAGGACAAAGCUUUCCUGGGAAGAGCUGUCACCUUUGGCACAAAUGGAAGAAUUUCUCUUCCUCAGAUCCAAGCUAUCUCCUGGGUUGCACAGCUAACACAAGAUCCAGUCACAAAUCGUAACCAGAUGCAGAGCUGGUUUCUAAGCCUCACACAAGAAAUCUCGCUACCUCUGCUGCUCAGAGCAAUCCAGGACUGUUAUAAAAAAAUGUUAGAAACCUGCUAGAAGGAUCCACUCACCACUCAGCGAUUAUACUAACAGACUUCUCACAAAAAAAAAC